rnacentral:rRNA from 1 species
UGGGGAAUUUUGCACAAUGGGGGAAACCCUGAUGCAGCGACGCCGCGUGAUUUAGAAGGCCUUCGGGUUGUAAAAAUCUUUUCUAUGGGAAGAAAAUGACAGUACCAUAGGAAUAAGGACCGGCUAAUUACGUGCCAGCAGCCGCGGUAAUACGUAAGGUCCGAGCGUUGUCCGGAAUCAUUGGGCGUAAAGGGUACGUAGGCGGGUAAGCAAGUUAGAAGUGAAAUCCUAUAGCUCAACUAUAGUAAGCUUUUAAAACUGCUCAUCUUGAGGUAUGGAAGGGAAAGUGGAAUUCAUAGUGUAGCGGUGAAAUGCGCAGAUAUUAGGAGGAAUACCGGUGGCGAAGGCGACUUUCUGGCCAUAACCUGACGCUGAGGUACGAAAGCGUGGGUAGCAAACAGG